AACGAACGCUGGCGGCAGGCCUAACACAUGCAAGUCGAGCGCCCCGCAAGGGGAGCGGCGCACGGGUGAGUAACACGUGGGAAUAUGCCCUGGGAUCGGGAAUAACGGCGGGAAACUGCCGCUAAUACCCGGUACGCCUUGAGAGGGAAAGGAGAAAUCCGUCCUGGGAGUAGCCCGCGUUGGAUUAGCUAGUUGGUGGGGUAAAGGCCCACCAAGGCUACGAUCCAUAGCUGGUCUGAGAGGAUGAUCAGCCACACUGGGACUGAGACACGGCCCAGACUCCUACGGGAGGCAGCAGUGGGGAGUAUUGGACAAUGGGGGAAACCCUGAUCCAGCCAUGCCGCGUGAGUGAAGAAGGCCUUAGGGUUGUAAAGCUCUUUCGGCGGGGACGAUGAUGACGGUACCCGCAGAAGAAGCCCCGGCUAACUUCGUGCCAGCAGCCG
rnacentral:rRNA from 1 species